UGGGGAAUUUUGGACAAUGGGCGCAAGCCUGAUCCAGCCAUUCCGCGUGCAGGAUGAAGGCCCUCGGGUUGUAAACUGCUUUUGUACAGAACGAAAAAGGCCUGGCUAAUAUCUGGGUCUCAUGACGGUACUGUAAGAAUAAGCACCGGCUAACUACGUGCCAGCAGCCGCGGUAAUACGUAGGGUGCGAGCGUUAAUCGGAAUUACUGGGCGUAAAGCGUGCGCAGGCGGUUUCGUAAGACCGAUGUGAAAUCCCCGGGCUCAACCUGGGAACUGCAUUGGUGACUGCGAAACUGGAGUGCGGCAGAGGGAGAUGGAAUUCCGCGUGUAGCAGUGAAAUGCGUAGAUAUGCGGAGGAACACCGAUGGCGAAGGCAGUCUCCUGGGCCUGCACUGACGCUCAUGCACGAAAGCGUGGGGAGCAAACAGGAUUAGAUACCCUGGUAGUCCACACAGUAAACGAUGUAUACUCGCGGUUUGCGAUAGAGUGUAAGCCGCCAAGCGAAAGCAUUAAGUAUACCACCUGGGGAGUACGCCGGCNACGGU
rnacentral:rRNA from 1 species